ACAAGCGGUGGAGCAUGUGGUUUAAUUCGACGCAACGCGAAGAACCUUACCUGGGCUUGACAUGUGCCUGACCGCCGUGGAAACACGGCUUCCCUUCGGGGCAGGUUCACAGGUGGUGCAUGGCUGUCGUCAGCUCGUGUCGUGAGAUGUUGGGUUAAGUCCCGCAACGAGCGCAACCCUCGUUCUGUGUUGCCAGCGGGUUAUGCCGGGGACUCACAGGAGACUGCCGGGGUCAACUCGGAGGAAGGUGGGGACGACGUCAAAUCAUCAUGCCCCUUAUGUCUCGGGCUGCACACGUGCUACAAUGGCCGGUACAAUGAGCUGCGAUACCGCGAGGUGGAGCGAAUCUCAAAAAGCCGGUCUCAGUUCGGAUUGGGGUCUGCAACUCGACCCCAUGAAGUCGGAGUUGCUAGUAAUCGCAGAUCAGCAUUGCUGCGGUGAAUACGUUCCCGGGC
rnacentral:rRNA from 1 species